rnacentral:lncRNA from 1 species
UGAUUGUUUUCUUUGUUUGAUAAAUUUAUGGCUUGAAAACCAAGUUUUUGUUUUAGUCAUGAUUGCCUUGGUCCUUCUAUAUGUACUAGCGGUUGGAGCGGCACCCUGUGGCGCCGCUUAAAAGGAAGCUGAGUGGUGCUAGGUGGGAGGCGCCCCUUCAGCUAUUUUUUCUUUUCUUUUUUUUGCUGUCACACAUGCAUGUACAACUAAGAACCUUGUUAAUAAAUGACCAUAAAUCAGGCCAAAUCCCUUG